AUGCCAGAGAAUGAAACUUUGAGCGGCAAUUCGUUCUCUUUAUUUUCUUCAUUCACACGCGCGCUCUCUCUCUCUCUUCAAAACCCUAAUUGAAACACAAUGGAGGCAGGAAACCAAGCACUGGUCAUAUCUAUGGCGAUUCUUCUCAUGCCACAAUGUUUUGAUUUAGGCUCCUAAAUCUUGCCCGCACUUCUUCUUUUCUCCUAGGGUUUAUAACCCGAUUCGUUUUUCUUCUUCUCUUAUUCUCUGAUUGUCUUUCCCUUUUCACACCAACGCUAGAUUACUUCCACCGCCGUUCUCCGCCUCUUAACAGUGUCGUCCGCCGCCUAUACGCAUCAUCACCGUCACCGCAACAACCAAUGGGUAAAGCUGCAAACUCCGGCCCCAAAUCUUCAUUGUCGGCUGCUAAAGAUGAAGCAUAUCUUCAAUCACUCAUCCCUAAACGAAUCCAUAAAAGCUCAAUAGAUUUCAGAUCUUAAGUCAAUUUCCGGUGACGUUACAUUGCUUGACGGGACUUUGAAGGAGGGAGAAGUGGGAAACAACUACUUUCGAUACAGCAACAGAGUUAUCGAAGAGUUUUGCUUCAAAUGCUUUGAUUUCUCACAUGUAUGGUUUGAUGUGGGACUUUGGAGCCAUAGGUUUUUAAGUGAUUAGAUCUUAUAUUGAUGUGUUGCAUAUGUUGUGUUGGUGGCGUAUGCAUGAAUGAAUUCUGGAGCAUAAGUGAUGGAAAAGUCUCUUUUGAAUCAUUGGCAAAGUUCUAUUUGACAUGUAUUAUCAAGUUAUUAUUAAUAAUUUAAAUUAUGAACUUAUGUUGAAUUGUGUACUUUAUGCCAAACACACACACGUAGCAAAAUUUAAUUGGAUUCAUGGAAUUAAUAUUAGUUAUUUACUUUGCUAUAUCAUGUAGUACAAACUGUGAUGCAUUAACAACCCGAUAAAACAUAAAUGGUGCCAAAUUUCACAUAUCAAGAUCACCAUGAUAAAAAAGUUCCACCUAUAUAAACGCCAUUAACCCCACCAGGUUGUUAUGGUUUUUUCCGACUGCAAGCAGAAAACUUUUUUUGUUUAUUUUUUAGGAUUAUUAUAGGUCCCUUUUGUUGCUUUGAUUUUUGGCAGUUGUUUUUCUGUUUUUAGUUUGGACCCUUUCUUGAUAGCUGAGGUUCGUAUAUGAAUCAUUCAAGAAACUGCGUCCUGGGAUCCCUUUAAAAUGCUUGCAUGGAAGGAUGAAACAAGUGAAAGAAUGUUCAUAUUGCAACAAAGAUCAGUUCUUUUUUCAAUUGAAAGUCUUCAAUGGGCAUGGAUUUCAACAAAGGGGUCGAUUGGGUUGUUCAGGUGAUCUACAGUUAUAGUAGAAAUGUUAAAACUGGUGGGCCGGGUAAUAGUCAUAACGUGUUCAGGUUGAAACAUGCUUUUUUUUGUAUAAGACAAAACGGGUGGGGCCGGUGUCUACACUUUUCAUCAUGUUUAAUUCAUUAAUCCGUUCGUUAUAAUUUUCAAGUCUUAGCAUGCAUUGUUUUGGGGUAUAAAUCUGAUUUUUUUCUUCUCUCCGGUGGAUUGCCCUGAUGAUGUUGCAAGUUACAUACAUAGAGUUGGCCCCACAGCACGUUAUGAUUCUAAAGGGCGGUCUGUCUUAUUUCUCUUGCCUUUUGAGAUGAAAAUGCUUGAGAGAUUACAAGAGAAAAAGAUACCUGUUGAAUUUGACAAGCCAAACACCAAACGAUCGCAAUUUGUUUCUGGUUUAUUAGCUGCUUCUGUUAGAAAAAACCCACACAACUGCAGCCUUUGGGCCAAUAAGCCUUCAAAACAAAAGUAAAGUCAAUUUACAAACAAAAAGGUAAAGAAUUUUUUUUAUGUGAGAAGGCUUCCCAUUGAUCACAUUUCAGCUUCAUUUGGUCUGCCUAUGUGUAGUCAUAUUUUUUUUAUAAUAACAAAUGCCACAAACUGCAUCUUCACACAAAACUUAAGGUAAUCACAUUAGCUUGCAAGAAAUAAAGUUGUUUACAAGCUAGCACAUAAAUACACAACUUGAUAUUUGAUAUACUAGCCAGAUGGCUUUUGCACUUAUAAUUUACCCACAUUGACCCAUUAACAACCUGCACAUUUUUCUACAAUUAUAUAAGCGACUCAAUUCUUAUUUUCUAUGUGUAAUUUAUUAAAUUAAUAGAUUUAUAAAUAUUUUUCUACAAUUAUAUAAGCGUCUUGAUUCUUAUUUUCUAUGCCACUGGCACUCUUUUGUCCAUUUUUCGUAUUGUUCUUACUUAUGUUUUUGAAACGGGUCAGUUGUAUCUAACGAUUUGGAAGUCAUUACACGUGUAUUCAAAUGCUUACACUGUGCUAAUUCGUUUAUAAAAAAAUGUAUAUUAUUAUUCACAGCCAUUAACUUUUGAAUCCUUUUUUACUGUAACAAUUUGAAAAAGGAUCAUCAUCAAUUAACUUUUGAGACACCAGGUAAUCUAAAUUUUGCACAAAAUUUCAAUCUUUUGAAUGUAACAAUUUGAAAAAAAAAAGGAUCUGAUAUGGGAAUUAGAUGUGUUUACAUCACAUACUAGCUAUUUAUUAAUAUGAUACGUUUGUUAAAUUGAUUACUAAUCGCUUAUAUGUGAUUACUUGGAUUUGUUAUAUAUAUGUCUGUAUUUAGAGCUAUGAUUACUCUUGGAACUAUUAUGAGUAUAACAGCUAAAGAAAAUAAUAUAUAAGAAAACAAAGAUGACCAGCGGGAAACUGGCCGAUAAAGUUUUAUUACACAAUGCAUCUAUCAUUUUCUCGAAACUUCAGGUAUGCGAGUUUGAUCGAAGAAGUUUGAUUUGGAAUUGUUUACAAGGGUUGUUUGGAUUCUGGGAAGGUAGAUGUUGUUCAUUAUUAUUCUGUUAUUUAAGAGAACUGAAAUUGUUGAUGUGCUUUUUUGAAAGUGAAUAAAAGCAACUUUUACUAAUCGAAGGAAUUGAGUUAGCCGACGGCGGCAGACCCACAGACCCUAAUAUACAUCUACAACAUCUAAGGCUUUCAGUAUUUGCUUCUUUGUGUCGACGAUGUUAAGAAUUGCAUAAUCGGUCUUUCCCGGUUCGUUUUGAAUGGUCGGCUGGGAACACUAGCGGUGAAGAAGCUCAAAAGAAUGGAAAAUGGACAAGUAUCACUAAUCCAUGAUGGCUACCAAAAUCAGCUGUCGCUCAACUUUGUAUUACGCUAUUACCCGAACGUGGAUUACUAAAUGCAAGUGGUGGCCUUAGGUUUUGUUGGUUCUGAUGGGACAAAGACUACAGAGGCCACAAGCGUUUGGUGGAUAACAGAUGAUUUGCUGUCAGCCCUUCAAGAAAUAGUUUCUCUCAUGGUCAAUUGUAUGUUGCCUUAUCAAGGGUGAAAACAAGAAAUGGGGUCAAAAUACUCAUUCUUGACAACAACGGAAAAGCUACAGAUAAAACAACUAAUGUGGUGUAUAAAGAGAUUUUCAACGAAUUGUGAUAUCUGCAUAUUGAUGGUUAAUAAAAAGUUUUUACAUGAUCCAUUUCAAGACGUGUAUAUAUUCGUAACAUUUUAUGUAAACAACGAUGAUAAAGCGAUAUUAUCUUUAAUCAACCCGUGUAAUACACGGGUCCUUAGGCUAGUUACUCUAUAUUAUAUCUUGUAACUAUCACAUCUGUCCCCCACUCACG
rnacentral:lncRNA from 1 species